rnacentral:rRNA from 13 species
AAUGACAGUACCUGGUAAAGAAACCCCGGCUAACUCCGUGCCAGCAGCCGCGGUAAUACGGAGGGGGUUAGCGUUGUUCGGAAUUACUGGGCGUAAAGCGUACGUAGGCGGAUCAGAAAGUUAGGGGUGAAAUCCCGAGGCUCAACCUCGGAACUGCCUCUAAAACUCCUGGUCUUGAGUUCGAGAGAGGUGAGUGGAAUUCCAAGUGUAGAGGUGAAAUUCGUAGAUAUUCGG